UGGGGAAUAUUGCACAAUGGGCGCAAGCCUGAUGCAGCGACGCCGCGUGGGGGAUGACGGCCUUCGGGUUGUAAACCUCUUUCAGCAGGGACGAAGGGUGACUGACGGUACCUGUAGAAGAAGCACCGGCCAACUACGUGCCAGCAGCCGCGGUAAUACGUAGGGUGCGAGCGUUGUCCGGAAUUACUGGGCGUAAAGAGCUCGUAGGUGGUUUGUCGCGUUGUUCGUGAAAACUCACAGCUUAACUGUGGGCGUGCGGGCGAUACGGGCAGACUGGAGUACUGCAGGGGAGACUGGAAUUCCUGGUGUAGCGGUGGAAUGCGCAGAUAUCAGGAGGAACACCGGUGGCGAAGGCGGGUCUCUGGGCAGUAACUGACGCUGAGGAGCGAAAGCGUGGGGAGCGAACA
rnacentral:rRNA from 1 species